UACGUAGGGGGCAAGCGUUGUCCGGAUUUAUUGGGCGUAAAGAGCGUGUAGGCGGCCAAGCAGGUCCGCUGUGAAAACUCGAGGCUCAACCUCGAGACGUCGGUGGAAACCGUUUGGCUAGAGUCCGGAAGAGGAGAGUGGAAUUCUCGGUGUAGCGGUGAAAUGCGCAGAUAUCGGGAAGAACACCCGUGGCGAAGGCGGCUCUCUGGGACGGUACUGACGCUGAGACGCGAAAGCGUGGGGAGCGAACAGG
rnacentral:rRNA from 1 species